rnacentral:lncRNA from 1 species
ACAAAAUGAACCUCUUCAUUCCAACAACUUGUUUCUACAAAAUAUCAACAAAGUCAUUUUCACUUGCAGCAUAACAACAAAAUAGGCCAUAGAAUAACAUUUACAACCUUCCAAAAUAACAGAAUCUAUUUUCCAAAAAAACAUAACUUGUUUUUAUAAAAAAAGUACCUGUUUAAAAAAAAACAAAACAAAACCUAUCUUACAAAAUAUCACAAGCUAUCUUCCCAAAAUAAGGCAACUUGUCUUCCAAAAUAAUAUAAUAACCUAACCCAACUAGCUAAUAAAGGUAAAACUGUCUUGUGAUAACAAAAUAGCCUAACCCAACCAGCUGAAGCUUAAGUCUGAUGCUCCCACAAUCAUAGGUCAUUUCCUCAAUAAAUAAGAAUUGCCAGCUGAAGCUUCAGUUAAUGCAAGAAGGACAGAUCCACUUGCAGGAGGGGCAGAUGUUAAGGAUGGAGCAGCUAAAUCACUUGGUGGUACAUUUGAACUUCCAACUGCAGUGGUGGCCUUUCUCUUUCAUUUACCUUUCUGCACAACUCUUGUAGGCUUAGCUCACCUUGUUGUUGUAUUGGGACCAACUUCACUUGUUUAAAUAGUUUGUUGGGAUGAGACAAAAAAUAAUAAACUGUUAGUUGCAGGAUAUACAAAAAAUCAAAAAAUUAAUAAAAGUAACAAAUGUUCAUCCUGAGAUGUUUACCUCAGCCUUCCUAUUUUUUAUUUUUGUUUUGGGGGCAGAUUCCUAUGACAAGUCCUUUUAUUAUGGCCCUUUCUUCCACAUUGGCCGCACUUCAGUGAAUCUUGAACUUUUGUAACAACAUUGGUCUUCUUGCUUGACUCACAUGCUUCCUUCCUUCUACCCUUUUUUGGCCUUCCAGGUUGUUUGGAGUAUGAAGGAGGCACACAUGGUGGUAUAUUAGUUCUAUCCAACAACUCCGUCCCAUUCAUAGGUAGUAUGAGGUUUUCAUAUGCCUUGAAAUAUGUCUCAGUGUGAUAACAUGCAUCCACAAAAUCCAUUACAUUCAGGCCCCCAUUGUAAUUUAUAGAUGCCACUCCAUGAACACAAGGCCAACCAGUCAAAUCCCAUUCUCUGCAAGAACAGCUCCUCAAAUCCAAGUCCACAAUAUACUGUGAAAUCCCAC